UACAGAGGGUGCAAGCGUUAAUCGGAAUUACUGGGCGUAAAGCGUGCGUAGACGGUUAUGUAAGUCAGAUGUGAAAGCCCAGGGCUCAACCUUGGAAUUGCAUUUGAGACUGCAUAGCUAGGGUGCGGAAGAGGGAAGCGGAAUUUCCGGUGUAGCGGUGAACUGCGUAGAUAUCGGAAGGAACACCAGUGGCGAAAGCGGCUUCCUGGUCCAGCACCGACGUUCAGGCACGAAAGCGUGGGGAGCAAACAGG
rnacentral:rRNA from 1 species